ACCCCUCUAAUCCCGGGCCCGAACCGGACCGCGCCGUCGCCCGCAGCUCCCUCCUGUGGGAGCUCCCCUCGCGCCCGCAAGCCGCCUCGCCGGCGACCCCACACCUCCGCCACGCCCCGCCGCCGGCGACCUUCCCCACUGGAUCUCCGGACCUCCAUGGCGCCGCUGGACCUCAAUCUCGCUGGAUCUGGCCGCCUCCACACCAAAUCCGCCGGAAAUGGAUCCUCCCUGGCCAGAUCCGCCCGGAUCCGACCGGGCCCCGCCGUCGUCGCCACCGGAGCACCGCCCCGCUCGACCUGCAGCGCCACCUUCCACCGGCAGCCCCCAGUCUCGGUCGCCACGCGAUCAUGUGGAUGAUGCUCGGCGUGUCCCUGUAAUUGCCGGCUACUGCCACUCCCCGCCCCUGUUCAAUUAAGCCAAUGCUUGAAAUUUUGGUUUAGACUGACCUGCUCUUCAAUCCUUGCUGAUUUGUGGUUUUGAGACCCACCCAAGCAGGGUCUGCGUUCAUGAGGAGAACCUGCUGUUCCUGGAGGCCUGGCAGACAGUCGAUCCCGCUGCUACCACAAGUACGCUUUGUGACGAGCUGGUCAACACAAGGGAGGAGACAUAUGAUUCCACUUGUGCAAAGUCUGCCUGUACUGCUAUCCAUAUUGCCCCAUAGCAAUACAAUUUAUCUACUGCCUCAAUAGCUCACUUCUGCAAGUCAUAACAUGACAUUUAAUAUUUUAGAAAGUACAACCGAGUUUAAUAAGUGGAUCAAAUGCAGUUGUCAUGCACCUCCUUUGGUUGAAUCUGAAUUCUGUUAGAAACAUGGCAAACCACCUAGAUAUGCCAUUGAUCUGUACAAAACUGAGAGAUUUUGUGUUUUUACAGUUCUUUUGUGCUCUGACCGAAUUUGCUUAUCUGACAUUUUUUCAGAUGUUGCAACCUUGGGCGAUCGGUUCAUUGGAUUCUUGAAACCAAUGCCUUUUCUGAAGUAAGUCUGGCAUGCAAGGUGCCUUCACGGUUUAUUUCCAAGAUGGCGCUGGGAUCUCGGGGACGUGCCAGACGGCGUUGCGUUCCUGCACCUUGGGGAUGGCUUGGGUCGAAUUCUCCUCCAUGCAAUCUUGUGCUCCUUUGGGUGUUUCUAAUCUUUCUGCCUUCUAGCGUAAAUAGAGAGAUGUUCUCCCAUCGCUAUUGGCUGUCAAAUUUUGGAUGCAAUCCGUCCGCAUGUCGGCACAAUCAGCAGAACAAAGCAGCUACCAUGAUUUGCCCAUUGAUCUCUUGGAGUGAUUCAAACCUGCAAGCACCAGGAUUGAGUGACUCCUGCAUAUGAUGACUGAAGAAUUUUUCAUCAAUUUUCCAACCUGAAUUAGAUACAGAAUUUGGGAAAAGAGGAGUCCAGGCUCUGAUGAACACACCGUCUUUCCCAGAAACCACUUCAACUAGCCCAGGACUGUGUCUAUUAGUCCUCCGGUAUUUCUUGAGAUGACACAUUGUAUGAUAGGUAACAAGCAACUGAAGCAAGAAGAUUUUUUAAAUUUCUUGGAAAGUAUAACCACCUUAACCCAGGAUGCAAGAUGAAGGAUCCAAUAUGUCAGGACCAACGAGGGAAUUGCAGUAUGUCAGAACCAAUGAGAGAAUUGUAGAGCUUCAUAUUAAGUUUAUUUUAGCUGCUUGCCCGCUUCAAGUGUCUAGAUUACAGGAAACAUGUUUCUUUAAGUGACAAACCUGGAUACCAAUUUAUUCAAACUAUUAUAUUUCUUAUAGAAGUAAUGCAAUAUAUUCUCUC